AUACGGCCAUAUCACGUUGAAACACCGGUUUCCAUACAAAUCACCAAAGUUAAGCAACGUCGAGCCUGGUUAGUAUCUACAUGGGUGACGGCUUGGGAAUACAAGGUGUUGUAAG